GGCGGCGGUGUCCGGCACGGAGCAGGCGCCGGAGACGACGAAGAAGAAGGGCGGCGGCGGCGGCGGCGGGGACGAGCGGGUGGUGCAGGUGCACAGCGCGGAGGAGCUCGACGGCGCGCUGCGGGCGGCGAAGGAGCGGCUGGUGGUGGUGGAGUUCGCGGCGAGCCACAGCGUGAACAGCAGCCGCAUCUACCCGUGCAUGGUGGAGCUGAGCCGCACCUGCGGCGACGUCGACUUCCUCCUCGUCAUGGGCGACGAGUCGGACGCCACCCGGGAGCUGUGCCGCCGGGAGGGGAUCACCGCCGUGCCCCACUUCACCUUCUACAAGGGCGCCGAGAAGGUCCACGAGGAGGAGGGGAUCGGCCCCGACCAGCUCGCCGGCGACGUCCUCUACUACGGCGACCACCACUCCGCCGUCGUCCAGCUCCACUCCCGCGCCGACGUCGAGUCCCUCAUCUCCGACCACCGCGGCGAGGGCGGCAAGCUGGUGG
rnacentral:misc_RNA from 1 species